UUUCUCUAGAACAAUCAGAGCUCAGACAGAAGGCAGGUUUUAAACAACAAAAGCCAAAAGGCAGCAAAGGAGGAAAGAAAGCAUGUCAUCAGGAGAGAGAAGGAGAGAGAGCUCCUCUCAGGCGCCAGGGCCUGCCAGGUCCCAAAUCAAACCUUAGUGACACGGGAGGGUUUAUUAGUUCCUGGCAGAUUUUGCAUUUGCGUCAGCAGAGAACACCCAGACUGCCCGUUCCCUACCUCCAAGGCAAAGGCUGCGAUUGGAAAGGACACCAAACCAGAAGCCCAAGACCCCUGGCUCUGGCCCCCGUUGCACCUCACCAGGACUGGGGGGACCCGUGACACUGUACCCUCACCUAGUUGCCCCAUCCACAAAACCAGAGACCAGAGCAAGUGAUUUCUGAAGUCUUAUCCAGCUUGGAAAUCAUGUGGCUCCACAAAAGAGAACCUAUGGUUCCUGCGCUUGGUAAGAGUAUGUUUGUCUCUUUCCUCUAAUUAAUGAGCAUUUUUAAGCUUAAUACAGUUAGCGAGGAUGUUAGAGUCAAUCACGCAAACAUGAGCUAAUUCUAUAAUUGAUUGGGAACUAAUUGGGAACUCCGAAGAGCAUUUCUACUGC
rnacentral:lncRNA from 1 species